rnacentral:rRNA from 1 species
UGGGGAAUUUUGCACAAUGGAGGAAACUCUGAUGCAGCGACGCCGCGUGAGUGAUGAAGAUCUUCGGAUUGUAAAUCUCUGUCCUUAGUGAAGAUAAUGACAGUAACUAAGAAGCAAGCCCUGGCUAAAUACGUGCCAGCAGCCGCGGUAAUACGUAUGGGGCAAGCGUUGUCCGGAAUUAUUGGGCGUAAAGGGUACGUAGGCGGUUUAAUAAGUCCUAAUUAAAAGGCUAUGGCUCAACCAUAGUAUGGUUAGGAAACUGUUGAACUUGGGUAGAUGAGGGGAAAGUGGAAUUCCAUGUGUAGCGGUGAAAUGCGUGGAUAUAUGGAGGAACACCAAUGGGGAAGGCAACUUUCUGGAAUCAAACUGACGCUGAGGUACGAAGACGUGGGGAGCAAACAGG